rnacentral:rRNA from 1 species
GUGCGAGCGUUAAUCGGAAUUACUGGGCGUAAAGCGUGCGCAGGUGGUUUCGUAAGCCAGACGUGAAAUCCCCGGGCUUAACCUGGGAACUGCGUUUGGGACUGCGAGGCUAGAGUACGGCAGAGGGAGGUGGAAUUCCACGUGUAGCAGUGAAAUGCGUAGAUAUGUGGAGGAACACCGAUGGCGAAGGCAGCCUCCUGGGCUAGUACUGACGCUCAUGCACGAAAGCGUGGGGAUCAAACAGGAUUAGAUACCCUGGUAGUCCACGCCCUAAACGAUGACAACUAGUUGUUGGGGAUUAACAUCCUUAGUAACGUAGCUAACGCGUGAAGUUGUCCGCCUGGGGAGUACGGUCGCAAGAUUAAAACUCAAAGGAAUUGACGGGGGCCCGCACAAGCGGUGGAUGAUGUGGUUUAAUU